UCUUUUGAAUGAGCAAAGAAAGUGAUUUCUUCAGAUGGAGUCCACUCCUGGUGAAGAUGCUGUGAA
rnacentral:pre_miRNA from 1 species